GAUGAGCGCUGGCGGCGUGCUUAACACAUGCAAGUCGAACGAAGCAUUUAGAACAGAUUAUUUCGGUAUGAAGUUCUUUAUGACUGAGUGGCGGACGGGUGAGUAACGCGUGGGUAACCUGCCUUGUACUGGGGGAUAGCAGCUGGAAACGGCUGGUAAUACCGCAUAAGCGCACGGUGCUGCAUGGCACAGUGUGAAAAACUCCGGUGGUAUAAGAUGGACCCGCGUCUGAUUAGCUAGUUGGUGAGAUAACAGCCCACCAAGGCGCAGAUCAGUAGCCGACCUGAGAGGGUGACCGGCAACAUUGGGACUGAGACACGGCCCAGACUCCUACGGGAGGCAGCAGUGGGGAAUAUUGCAAAAUGGAGGAAACUCUGAUGCAGCAACGCCGCGUGAGUGAAGAAGUAAUUCGUUAUGUAAAGCUCUAUCAGCAGGGAAGAUAGUGACGGUACCUGACUAAGAAGCUCCGGCUAAAUACGUGCCAGCCGCCGCCGUAA
rnacentral:rRNA from 1 species